rnacentral:rRNA from 1 species
UCGAGAAUUUUUCACAAUGGGCGAAAGCCUGAUGGAGCGACGCCGCGUGGGGGAUGAAUGGCUUCGGCCCGUAAACCCCUGUCAUUCGGGAUCAAUGCGACUGAUUUAAUACGUCAGUCGUUGAUAGUACCGGAAGAGGAAGGGACGGCUAACUCUGUGCCAGCAGCCGCGGUAAUACAGAGGUCCCAAGCGUUGUUCGGAUUUACUGGGCGUAAAGGGUGCGUAGGCGGUCGGGUCAGUCUGAUGUGAAAUCUCCGAGCUCAACUCGGAAAGCGCAUCGGAUACUGCUCGGCUAGAGGAUUGGAGGGGGGACUGGAAUUCUCGGUGUAGCAGUGAAAUGCGUAGAUAUCGAGAGGAACACCAGUGGCGAAGGCGAGUCCCUGGACAAUUCCUGACGCUGAGGCACGAAAGCUAGGGGAGCAAACA